GGGAGUAGGCGGGCGGCUGACGGUGAAGGGCUGGAUCGCCCUUCGCUGAGGAAAGUCCCCCCUCGCUCCGGGCCGGGGAGGUGCGAAAGCACCAGGGGCGAGAGUCCCUAACAGGGGAGCAGAAACGACACAGCCAGCGGGUAAUGCGAUGAUGGAUUUGAUCCUGAGGUCCCCGCUGGAUUUGUUGAAACGGCCCCUGUCCCCGGAGCAAGCCCAAGCAGUGGAAUCGGUUGCCCGGACCGUCCACGGGUGGGGCGCAUAGUAGAAUGCCGCCUAAAACAGAAGGGGGCUUACGGCCUACACCC
rnacentral:RNase_P_RNA from 1 species